rnacentral:rRNA from 2 species
UCAGCGGGGCGGGUGCUAUACAUGCAGUCGUACGCACUGGCCCAACUGAUUGAUGGUGCUUGCACCUGAUUGACGAUGGAUCACCAGUGAGUGGCGGACGGGUGAGUAACACGUAGGUAACCUGCCCCGGAGCGGGGGAUAACAUUUGGAAACAGAUGCUAAUACCGCAUAACAACAAAAGCCACAUGGCUUUUGUUUAAAAGAUGGCUUUGGCUAUCACUCUGGGAUGGACCUGCGGUGCAUUAGCUAGUUGGUAAGGUAACGGCUUACCAAGGCGAUGAUGCAUAGCCGAGUUGAGAGACUGAUCGGCCACAAUGGAACUGAGACACGGUCCAUACUCCUACGGGAGGCAGCAGUAGGGAAUCUUCCACAAUGGGCGCAAGCCUGAUGGAGCAACACCGCGUGAGUGAGAAGGGUUUCGGCUCGUAAAGCUCUGUUGUUGGAGAAGAACGUGCGUGAGAGUAACUGUUCACGCAGUGACGGUAUCCAACCAGAAAGUCACGGCUAACUACGUGCCAGCAGCCGCGGUAAUACGUAGGUGGCAAGCGUUAUCCGGAUUUAUUGGGCGUAAAGCGAGCGCAGGCGGUUGCUUAGGUCUGAUGUGAAAGCCUUCGGCUUAACCGAAGAAGUGCAUCGGAAACCGGGCAACUUGAGUGCAGAAGAGGACAGUGGAACUCCAUGUGAUAACUCCAGUGUAGCGGUGGAAUGCGUAGAUAUAUGGAAGAACACCAGUGGCGAAGGCGGCUGUCUGGUCUGCAAAUGACGCUGAGGCUCGAAAGCAUGGGUAGCGAACAGGAUUAGAUACCCUGGUAGUCCAUGCCGUAAACGAUGAGUGCUAGGUGUUGGAGGGUUUCCGCCCUUCAGUGCCGGAGCUAACGCAUUAAGCACUCCGCCUGGGGAGUACGACCGCAAGGUUGAAACUCAAAGGAAUUGACGGGGGCCCGCACAAGCGGUGGAGCAUGUGGUUUAAUUUGAAGCUACGCGAAGAACCUUACCAGGUCUUGACAUCUUGCGCUAACCUUAGAGAUAAGGCGUUCCCUUCGGGGACGCAAUGACAGGUGGUGCAUGGUCGUCGUCAGCUCGUGUCGUGAGAUGUUGGGUUAAGUCCCGCAACGAGCGCAACCCUUGUUACUAGUUGCCAGCAUUAAGUUGGGCACUCUAGUGAGACUGCCGGUGACAAACCGGAGGAAGGUGGGGACGACGUCAGAUCAUCAUGCCCCUUAUGACCUGGGCUACACACGUGCUACAAUGGACGGUACAACGAGUCGCAAGCUCGCGAGAGUAAGCUAAUCUCUUAAAGCCGUUCUCAGUUCGGACUGUAGGCUGCAACUCGCCUACACGAAGUCGGAAUCGCUAGUAAUCGCGGAUCAGCAUGCCGCGGUGAAUACGUUCCCGGGCCUUGUACACACCGCCCGUCACACCAUGGGAGUUUGUAACGCCCAAAGUCGGUGGCCUAACCUUUAUGGAGGGAGCCGCCUAAGGCGGGACAGAUGACUGGGGUGAAGUCGUAACAAGAGCCAGCCCGACU